GACGAACGCUGGCGGCGUGCCUAAUACAUGCAAGUCGAGCGCAGGAAACUGACGGAACUCUUCGGAGGGAAGGCAGUGGAAUGAGCGGCGGACGGGUGAGUAACACGUAAGGAACCUGCCUCAAGGAUUGGGAUAACUCCGAGAAAUCGGAGCUAAUACCGGAUAGUUCAACGGACCGCAUGGUCCGCUGAUGAAAGGCGCUCCGGCGUCACCUUGAGAUGGCCUUGCGGUGCAUUAGCUAGUUGGUGGGGUAACGGCCCACCAAGGCGACGAUGCAUAGCCGACCUGAGAGGGUGAUCGGCCACACUGGGACUGAGACACGGCCCAGACUCCUACGGGAGGCAGCAGUAGGGAAUCUUCCACAAUGGACGAAAGUCUGAUGGAGCAACGCCGCGUGAGUGAUGAAGGUUUUCGGGUCGUAAAGCUCUGUUGUCAGAGAAGAACAAGUACCGGAGUAACUGCCGGUACCUUGACGGUACCUGACCAGAAAGCCACGGCUAACUACGUGCCAGCCGCCGCGGUAA
rnacentral:rRNA from 1 species